AUUGGACGCUGGCGGCAGGCCUAACACAUGCAAGUCGAGCGGAUGAAGGGAGCUUGCUCCUGGAUUCAGCGGCGGACGGGUGAGUAAUGCCUAGGAAUCUGCCUGGUAGUGGGGGAUAACGUCCGGAAACGGGCGCUAAUACCGCAUACGUCCUGAGGGAGAAAGUGGGGGAUCUUCGGACCUCACGCUAUCAGAUGAGCCUAGGUCGGAUUAGCUAGUUGGUGGGGUAAAGGCCUACCAAGGCGACGAUCCGUAACUGGUCUGAGAGGAUGAUCAGUCACACUGGAACUGAGACACGGUCCAGACUCCUACGGGAGGCAGCAGUGGGGAAUAUUGGACAAUGGGCGAAAGCCUGAUCCAGCCAUGCCGCGUGUGAAGAAGGUCUUCGGAUUGUAAAGCACUUUAAGUUGGGAGGAAGGGCAGUAAGUUAAUACCUUGCUGUUUUGACGUUACCAACAGAAUAAGCACCGGCUAACUUCGUG
rnacentral:rRNA from 1 species